rnacentral:lncRNA from 1 species
GCUCGGCUCGCCAUGGCCGCUGCGGUGCGAGUCUGAGCGGCGUCCACCCCGCGGUCCCGGGCCGCCCGGGCCAUGCGGCCUUUGCCACUGUGGCUGCCGUCGCUGCUGCUCUGUGGGCUCGGUGCCGCGGCGUCCUCGCCAGGUAAGCGCGACCCAGGAGACCCCCCACCCCACCCCCGACUCCUCGGGCUCUCCUGGGUGUCGCGUCCGCGCGUGGGUGGCUCCGGGAGCUUGCACCCGGCACAGGGUGGGGUUCUGCAGUCGUUCCCGAUCUGCGGGUGACCGCGAUCGGACGGGGCACCGACCAGGAGGAAUCUGCAAGAGGGAGCUGCAGUGAGUGUAGCGUGGACCACGGGGAAUUCCAGGCCUGGAGGUGGAGAGCCCAGUUCGUCUUUGGCUCCUUGGUGCCAGGGAGAUCAGCUGACGGGCAGGACCAGUAUUUGUCUGGGCAGCCUAUAAAAUCCUCGUACUCAGUUCCUCGGGAUCUUAUAGAUGGGGAGCAGAAAUGCCUGUGUCCCCUCCAGUGUAUGGGGACAGAGGGUCAGCUGAGGCACACUUUUAAUCUCAGCUCUAUCCUACUCCGCCCACACAGCCCUUUACCGGGGUUCAACUUCCCACUUUUGUCACCAACCUGACUGUAUUUAUGAGCCAGUCAUCAAAACCAACAAAAGAAAGACAUCACUAACCAAGAACAUUCUUCCUACGUGAUUAUAUUUUGCUGGGUUCUUUCCCGUGCAGAGAUCAUAUCAAAGCUUGGAUAUCUGGAGUCCACAGUGGUAGUGGGGUGCACCCUUGUGAAAACACAGAACUCAGGAUGAGAAAAAGGGGUCCUGAAGUUUCUGGCCGGCCGGGCCGGCUUGGUUUACUCAGUGGGUCUUGCUGUUGUUGUUUAUUUUGUUUUUUUUAUAGUUUGGCCAUUAGUUAAAUAAGCCUACGAAUUGGGACGUUCCCUCCCAUUGGAAGUGGUGUUGAGGAGUUAGUUGGUCCUCUGUCAGCAUCCCUGCAAAGGCCCUUAAGUUCCCUUUCUCCUUAAGGGCAGAGGAGCACAGGAGGAUGAGUGGGUUACGCAGUUAACUUGUUCUCCUGGAGUCAGACAAAGACUUUAAACCCUGGCUCUGAUGUUCCCCAUUUUGCCUUGAGCAAUCUGUGUCUGACACACCCACACACACAGGUCUCCUUUGGAGGAGAGCCUGCGAUUGUCUGAGAUGUCUGUGAACUAUGUGUUCAGAAGUUGAUAGGCGUAUUUAGAAACUUUACAACAGACAUUUUUCUAAUGAUUAACUUUUUAUUAUGCUCCACAAAAGUCGUGGUCUGUGGCUCAUUAACAACAAAUUGGAUCCUUAGAUAUUUUGAAAAUGGUAGCCUUUUGUAAAUUUCUUAGACUCUCAUGCCACUCUUAACGCGAAAUUUUCACACUUUUUUUUUAAAAGAAAAACUAGGAUAUGUUUAAAAGAAACCCUUUUAGUCACAGUGCAGAGUGAAAAUAUUGACAUUGUUCUUGCGGCCAACAGGUAAUGAGAAGAUUCCCAUAACUGUUCCAUAGGUUAUGAAUGGCCCUCAGGAAUCAUAAAAUUGCUUUUAACAACAUAUUCAUGUUUUGCCUGCAUGUCUAUGUAUGUCUAUGCACCACUUGAGUUCCUGGUGCUUACGGAAGCCAAAAGAGGCCAUCAUAUCUCCCAGAACUGGAGCUAUAAAUAGUUCUGAGCUGCCCUGCUGGGGCUAGAACUCUAAUAGAGUAGCAAGUGCCCUUAACCACCGGGCCAUCUCACAGCCCCGGAAACAAGGCUUUGAAAGGAACAUUUGUAAAACGCUCCAGGGAGUCAAGGCUAGCAUAUCAAUACUGUACCCCAAACAGGCUGGAGUUACUCUCUGUUGCUUUGUUAGGUGGCAGCCAUUUGCUGUAGAUCAUAAAAACAAAACAAAAAAGAAUAAUUGAUAGCAUGAGACUCUUUAGUUAUUCAGUUUCCUGCACAGAAGGAUCAAGGCUUCUGCUUGUAGCCAUGGCUGCUCUUUGUACUGUGGAGUAGCCGUGUGUGAGCAUGUGAGUGUGUGCGUGUAUGUGUGUGUCUGUGUGUAUGUCUCUCUGUAUGCAACUCUAUGUGUGUGUGUCUCUAUGUGUCUGUGUGUGCAUGUGUGUCUCUGUGUGUAACUCUGUGUGUCUCUAUGUAUCUGUAUGUGUGUCUGUGAGUGUAUGUGUGCAUGUGUGUCUCUGUGUGUGUAACUGUGUGUGUGUCUAUGUGUCUGUGAGUGUAUAUGUGUGUGUGUGUCUCUGUGUCUGUGUGUAACUCUGUGUGUGUGUGUGUGUCUAUGUAUCUGUGUAUGUGUGUAUGUGUGUGUUUGAAGGAAUAUCCAAACCAAUGGGUGUUAGGGAAUUUCCUGUUUGGGUGUUGUCUCUUCAGGUGGAACUGUCUUGUAAUUGGAUAGGUGAUAAUCCUAGCUCCCAUUUAUUGAGACAAGCUGCUAAGGGCUGUGUGUAUUUUCUCUCUCUCUCUCUCUCUUUUGUUUUUGUUUUUGUUUUUGUUUUUCGUGACAGCGUUUCUCUGUAUAUCCCUGGCUGUCAUGGAACUCACUUUGUAGAUCAGGCUGGCCUCGAACUCAGAAAUCCACCUGCCUCUAUUUUCUCUCUUUUAAUCUUCAUAUUUUACUGCCAGGAAGAGACAAAUGAUCUAGGGAGAAAAAAAAAACCCACUUGCUGUGGGGAUUUACUAAAAAGAAUCACUUCCUGGUUCUGACUGAAGGGUGAGGACUGUUUAUUUCCCUGUCACAUUUAAGUUGCUGGAGGUGAGGUCAUUGGUGUCAGGUCUAAUUCAUGUGAGGCUGACCAAGAGGCAUAGAGAGAGGCUAGAACCAGGGAGUGGGUAUAGCCUUCAAAGACCUGUCUCUGCCGAUCUGUUCCUUCACGCAGGCCCUGCACUUACAGGCUCCACAGCCCUCAAAAUAGCCUCACAGGCUGGAGACCCGGUAUUCAAAGCCUGUGGGGGACCUGUCAGCCCCUAACAAUAAUGAGACUCCCACCAGGCCGCAGUAUUUGCUGUCGGAUAAAGGGCCUCACUUGUCUGGAAUCCUGCCUUGAGCCACAGGAUCCCGUAAGCCCCCACCUGGGCCUCGGUUCCCUCAUAAAGAACAGAACUUCUUCCCAUAGAGCUGUGAGAGGCAAACCCAAGAUCCG